GAUGAACGCUGACAGAAUGCUUAACACAUGCAAGUCAACUGUGGCGGACGGGUGAGUAACGCGUAAAGAACUUGCCUCAAAGAUAGGGACAACAUUUGGAAACGAAUGCUAAUACCUGAUACUGUGAGAGAGCUUUGCGUCCCAUUAGGUAGUUGGAGAGGUAACGGCUCACAAAGGCGAUGAUGGGUAGCCGGCCUGAGAGGGUGAUCGGCCACAAGGGGACUGAGACACGGCCCUUACUCCUGCGGGAGGCAGCAGUGGGGAAUAUUGGACAAUGGACCAAAGUCUGAUCCAGCAAUUCUGUGUGCAAGAUGAAGUUUUCGGAAUGUAAAGUGCUUUCAGUUGGGAAGCGGUACCAACAGAAGAAGUGACGGCUAAAUACGUGCCAGCAGCCGCGGUAAUUC
rnacentral:rRNA from 1 species